rnacentral:rRNA from 1 species
UACGGGGGGGGCAAGCGUUGUUCGGAAUUACUGGGCGUAAAGGGCGCGUAGGCGGCUUUGCAAGACAGAUGUGAAAUCCCCGGGCUCAACCUGGGAACUGCAUUUGUGACUGCAUGGCUGGAGUGCGGCAGAGGGGGAUGGAAUUCCGCGUGUAGCAGUGAAAUGCGUAGAUAUGCGGAGGAACACCGAUGGCGAAGGCAAUCCCCUGGGCCUGCACUGACGCUCAUGCACGAAGGCGUGGGGAGCAAACAGG